ACAGCAGUCGCCGCGGUAAUACGAAGGGUGCAAGCGUUACUCGGAAUUACUGGGCGUAAAGCGUGCGUAGGCGGCUUCUUAAGUCGGAUGUGAAAUCCCUGAGCUUAACUUAGGAAUUGCAUUCGAUACUGGGAAGCUAGAGUAUGGGAGAGGAUGGUAGAAUUCCAGGUGUAGCGGUGAAAUGCGUAGAGAUCUGGAGGAAUACCGAUGGCGAAGGCAGCCAUCUGGCCUAAUACUGACGCUGAGGUACGAAAGCAUGGGGAGCAAACAGGAUUAGAUACCCCCGUAGUCCCUGUCUCUUAUAA
rnacentral:rRNA from 1 species